GAACUAGAGAAGAUCGUUCUGAGAGGGGGUACCAAUCACCAGAUCCAGAAAGAUAAGCAUGAUGUGUACUCGAUUACAGCUGCAGAGCAAGAGACCCAAGUGCCUGCUGCUUCCCGUUAGUUUGCUCCUUUGAACAUUUCCACACCCCAUGGGGUCUGAUGACAUCAGCUCAGGUCACAAGAAUGGUUGGCCCAUCCUUUAGAGCAAAGACUCCUCUGAGAGUUAAGAAGCUAAGGGAAAAUGUGGAUGAAAACAACCUUCCAGAGACCUGCAACACUGGAAGACUUUCCAAUGUGUUAUGAAAAAGAAAAAGCCAUGAGA